rnacentral:rRNA from 1 species
GUGGGGAAUCUUGCGCAAUGGGCGAAAGCCUGACGCAGCCAUGCCGCGUGAAUGAUGAAGGUCUUAGGAUUGUAAAAUUCUUUCACCGGGGACGAUAAUGACGGUACCCGGAGAAGAAGCCCCGGCUAACUUCGUGCCAGCAGCCGCGGUAAUACGAAGGUCCCGAGCGUUGUUCGGAAUCACUGGGCGUAAAGGGCGCGUAGGCGGACAUUUAAGUCAGGGGUGAAUCCCGGGGCUCAACCUCGGAACUGCCUUUGAUACUGGGUGUCUUGAGUAUGAGAGAGGUGUGUGGAACUCCGAGUGUAGAGGUGAAAUUCGUAGAUAUUCGGAAGAACACCAGUGGCGAAGGCGACACACUGGCUCAUUACUGACGCUGAGGCGCGAAAGCGUGGGGAGCAAACAGGAUUAGAAACCCGAGUAGUCC